CAUUGCCCUCAGUCCUCAACAGGAUUUCUCUAGCACUGAAGCCUGACCAUAAUACUCAAUUGCAGGUCUGCUCCACAUAAAACUAUGUAACUAGAGUACUUCCUCCUGUGCUGGUUCCAAGACACAGCGAAUAUAAUCCUCAGCACAGCCUCUUAGCUCAGUUCCGUAACUUAGGACAAAAUGAGCCUCACAUGCCACUCAACGCCACUUUUCCAGAUUCUUUCCAGCAACCCAACAGCCACCCGUUUCCUCACUCUCCCAA
rnacentral:sRNA from 2 species